rnacentral:rRNA from 1 species
AGCGAACGCUGGCGGCAGGCUUAACACAUGCAAGUCGAGCGCCCCGCAAGGGGAGCGGCAGACGGGAGAGGAACACGUGGGAACAGACCUUUUGGUUCGGAACAACUGAGGGAAACUUCAGCCAAUACCGGGUAAGCCCUUACGGGGAAAGAUUUAUCGCCGAAAGAUUGGCCCGCGUCUGAUUAGCUAGUUGGUGAGGUAACGGCUCACCAAGGCGACGAUCAGUAGCUGGUCUGAGAGGAUGAUCAGCCUCACUGGGACUGAGACACGGCCCAGACUCCUACGGGAGGCAGCAGUGGGGAAUAUUGGACAAUGGGGGCUACCCUGAUCCAGCCAUGCCGCGUGAGUGAUGAAGGCCUUAGGGUUGUAAAGCUCUUUUGCCCGGGAAGAUAAUGACGGUACCGGGAGAAUAAGCCCCGGCUAACUUCGUG